rnacentral:rRNA from 1 species
AUAAUUGGAGAGUUUGAUCCUGGCUCAGAAUCAACGCUGGCGGCGUGCCUAACACAUGCAAGUCGAACGAGAAAGUGGGGCUUGCUCCACGAGUAAAGUGGCAAACGGGUGAGUAACACGUGAAC